rnacentral:rRNA from 1 species
UACAGAGGGUGCAAGCGUUGUUCGGAAUUAUUGGGCGUAAAGGGCGCGUAGGCGGUGCUGUAAGUCUGUAGUGAAAUCUCUGGGCUCAACUCAGAGUCUGCUAUAGAAACUGCAGUGCUGGAGUGUGGGAGAGGUGAGUGGAAUUCCCGGUGUAGCGGUGAAAUGGGUAGAUAUCGGGAGGAACACCUGUGGCGAAAGCGGCUCACUGGACCACAACUGACGCUGAGGCGCGAAAGCUAGGGGAGCAAACAGG